rnacentral:rRNA from 1 species
GAUUUGAUCUAUUUCUAGUGGCGGACGGGUGAGUAACGCGUGGGUAACCUGCCUUAUACAGGGGGAUAACAGUCAGAAAUGGCUGCUAAUACCGCAUAAGCGCACAGAGCUGCAUGGCUCAGUGUGAAAAACUCCGGUGGUAUAAGAUGGACCCGCGUUGGAUUAGCUAGUUGGUGGGGUAACGGCCCACCAAGGCGACGAUCCAUAGCCGGCCUGAGAGGGUGAACGGCCACAUUGGGACUGAGACACGGCCCAGACUCCUACGGGAGGCAGCAGUGGGGAAUAUUGCACAAUGGGGGAAACCCUGAUGCAGCGACGCCGCGUGAAGGAAGAAGUAUCUCGGUAUGUAAACUUCUAUCAGCAGGGAAGAUAGUGACGGUACCUGACCAAGAAGCCCCGGCUAACUACGUGCCAGCAGCCGCGGUAAUACGUAGGGGGCAAGCGUUAUCCGGAUUUACUGGGUGUAAAGGGAGCGUAGACGGUGUGGCAAGUCUGAUGUGAAAGGCAUGGGCUCAACCUGUGGACCGCAUUGGAAACUGUCAUACUUGAGUGCCGGAGGGGUAAGCGGAAUUCCUAGUGUAGCGGUGAA